rnacentral:rRNA from 1 species
UACGUAGGGUGCAAGCGUUAAUCGGAAUUACUGGGCGUAAAGCGUGCGCAGGCGGCUUUGCAAGACAGAUGUGAAAUCCCCGGGCUUAACCUGGGAACUGCAUUUGUGACUGCAUGGCUCGAGUACGGUAGAGGGGGAUGGAAUUCCGCGUGUAGCAGUGAAAUGCGUAGAUACGCGGAGGAACACCGAUGGCGAAGGCAGUCCCCUGGACCUGUACUGACGCUCAUGCACGAAAGCGUGGGGAGCAAACAGG